UACGAAGGGGGCUAGCGUUGUUCGGAAUUACUGGGCGUAAAGCGCACGUAGGCGGACUACUAAGUCAGGGGUGAAAUCCCGGGGCUCAACCUGGGAACUGCAUUUGUGACUGCAGUGCUAGAGUGUGGAAGGGGCAAUCGGAAUUCUUGGUGUAGCGGUGAAAUGCGUAGAUAUCAAGAGGAACACCUGAGGUGAAGACGGGUUGCUGGGCCAACACUGACGCUGAGGCGCGAAAGCCAGGGGAGCAAACGGG
rnacentral:rRNA from 1 species